UUUCAUUUUUAUUUCGAUUCUCCUGCCUAUGUUACUUGUGUGUUCAGUGUUAUGAAAUGAAUGUGUUGGUCCAAUAUGUAAAGGUUUGAGACGUUUGAGUAUUUUAUUUAAAUUAGUUGUUUUGAAUUACUGGCGGCCGUGGUUAAGAAAACCCGCGUUUGAUGUCUUCUGACAUAGGAAUUUCUUGCGGUUAACUUCAUGUUGCUUUUCGCGUAAAUAAGCGCCUGGUUGCUGGCAGUAACGGAUAAGAAACAUUCUACUAUCUGGGAUUCCUUAGUAUAGAAGUUUCCUGCAAAACCACAAGCAGCAGAUUUGCUUAUGAGGAUUCGACAAUUGAGAGUUAAAAAGACAGGAACACCGUCUUCGACCAGAAGUCGUACAGGCCUAAAUACUGAACACUUAAACACAUGAGACAACGGUCAGGACACAUAACACCCAGUGGACCAAUGGGAGAAUUAUUCGAUCACGAAAAGCUUCCUCUUUACCCGAGGCGGGAAUUGAACUCCAUAGCCCAUGCGUCUAGACAAUUGACAUCGCUAACCGCACGGCCAACAAGCCCACGAAGUGACGCAUAUUGGACCUGCGCCAACAUUCUAUCUCGAGAGCAACGUGUCAGGCUUGUUUAGUGUACCAUCCGACCACCAUAAACGAAAGAGAAGCUCAGAGUACAUCAUGGCAGAUAUACGGUACAUGA